GGGAGAUCUGACAGGUUCUAAGAGAAGGGAGACCAAGAUACAUGAGAUCUGUGGAACAGCAAGAGAUGAAAAAGACCCUUUUUGUGGGUGAAAGAGCAGCUCAAAUUCUGCAGUCAAGCUUGUGCUUCUGCUGGAGUCACAGUAAGAGUGACAGCUGCAGUGAUGAAUUUCAGUAUGAAGAUUGUAUGAACAUCACCCCAUUCCUCAAAGAACUGGCUAAUGCUGCCAUGCAUUUCACACAGCCUUCUUUCAGGAAGAGUUCAAGGACCAAAAAGCUGCCAGAUGUGGAAGGA
rnacentral:lncRNA from 1 species